AUUGAACGCUGGCGGCAGGCCUAACACAUGCAAGUCGAGCGGAGCGGCGGACGGGUGAGUAAUGCCCAGGAAUCUGCCUGGUAGUGGGGGAUAACGUCCGGAAACGGGCGCUAAUACCGCAUACUAUCAGAUGAGCCUAGGCCGGAUUUGCUAGUUGGUGGGGUAAAGGCCUGCCAAGGCGACGAUCCGUAACUGGUCUGAGAGGAUGAUCAGUCACACUGGAACGGGGACACGGUCAAGGCUCCUACGGGAGGCAGCAGUGGGGAAUGUUGGGCAAUGGGCGAAAGCCUGAUCCAGCCAUGCCGAGUGUGUGAAGGAGGUCUUCGGAUUGUAAAGAACUUUAAGUUGGGAGGCGUUACCAACAGAAUAAGCACCGGCUAACUUCGUGCCAGCAGCCGCGGUAAUAC
rnacentral:rRNA from 1 species